rnacentral:rRNA from 1 species
UACAGAGGUCCCAAGCGUUGUUCGGAUUCACUGGGCGUAAAGGGUGCGUAGGUGGUCGGGUGAGUCUGAUGUGAAAUCUCCGAGCUUAACUCGGAAACGGCAUCGGAUACUGCUCGGCUUGAGGGUUGGAGGGGGGACUGGAAUUCUCGGUGUAGCAGUGAAAUGCGUAGAUAUCGAGAGGAACACCAGUGGCGAAGGCGAGUCCCUGGACAACUCCUGACACUGAGGCACGAAAGCCAGGGGAGCAAACGGG